UGCGCAGGCGGCCGUGUGUGUCAGGUGUGAAAUCCCGGGGCUUAACCCCGGAACUGCGCCUGAAACUACAUGGCUAGAGUAUUGGAGAGGGUAGCGGAAUUCACGGUGUAGCAGUGAAAUGCGUGGAUAUCGUGAGGAACACCAGAGGCGAAGGCGGCUACCUGGACAAUUACUGACGCUCAGGCACGAAAGCGUGGGGAGCAAAAGGGAUUAGAUACCCCUGUAGUCCACGCCCUAAACGGUGCACACUAGGUCUUGGCGGAUUCGACCCCACCAGGGCCCAAGCUAACGCGUUAAGUGUGCCGCCUGAGGCUACGGCCGCAAGGCUAAA
rnacentral:rRNA from 1 species